UACGUAGGGUGCAAGCGUUGCCCGGAUUUAUUGGGCGUAAAGGGCGCGUAGGCGGCUCGGCACGUCCGUUGUGAAAUCGCCCGGCUCAACUGGGCGGGGUCAGCGGAUACGGCCGAGCUUGAGCAAGCUAGGGGGCAAUGGAAUUCCCGGUGUAGUGGUGGAAUGCGUAGAUAUCGGGAGGAACAUCAGUGGCGAAGGCGGCCUGUUGGGCUGUUGCUGACGCUGAGGCGCGACAGCGUGGGGAGCAAACAGG
rnacentral:rRNA from 1 species